UACGUAGGGGGCAAGCGUUGUCCGGAAUCAUUGGGCGUAAAGAGCGUGUAGGCGGCUCGAUAAGUCUGCUGUGAAAGUCCAGGGCUCAACCCUGGAAGGCCGGUGGAAACUGUCGGGCUAGAGUCCGGAAGAGGCGAGUGGAAUUCCCGGUGUAGAGGUGAAAUUCGUAGAUAUCGGGAGGAACACCGGUGGCGAAGGCGGCGACCUGGGACAAUACUGACGCUGAGGUGCGAAAGCGUGGGGAGCAAACAGG
rnacentral:rRNA from 1 species